rnacentral:misc_RNA from 1 species
AGAACAAACACAAAACAAUCCCCUGCUCAACAUGAUUACUAGCCCAAGCAUCAAUACUCACAUUAUGCAUUUUAUUAUUUAUAAGAUAUCAACAAAAAGGAUAUUAAAUUCUCGCAGAUUACUUGCAUUAUUCAUAACAAUUUUGCACUUAUCAAUUACAAAAUGGAAGUACUGUAAAUGAAAAGAAGAUGUUCAAAGUGUUUCCUUUAAAAUUUGAACCUUCUUUGCUCUGUUCUAAUAAGAUUCAUGAUUCAAUAGUUAAAUAUCUCUCUCCCUCUGUCAACUUUCUAAAAUUCAUUAAUUCAUAAUUUCCAAGUAAACAAUGUGACAUGUCAUGCUUACAGAUUGAGUUCUUUCUUUUCUUUUCUUUUUGUCUGGUAAAUCUAUAAAUUACUUGCAUGUCAAAAAAGAGAAGACACAUUUUUUUUCCUUGAAAAAGGAAUUGAAUACUUGAUGCAGUAUAGGAAGAUUAGAAUUAGGAGUUAUAUUCAAUGUAGAAUUAGGAAGUCUAGAAAGUUUAUUAGUUUUAAUGUUUUAUGACAUUAUUAUUUUAAUUUAAUUAUAUUUAGGAUUUAUUAAUUAGAUUUGUAUUAGGGUUUCUAUUUCUAAUUUGCUUAGGGUUGUAAUCUCUAGGGUAAAUUUUCUAUUAUUCAUAAGCUUGAUAAUAUGAAAUUGACAACUAAAUAAAGCAUUUUUGAGAAUUCGUUUCUCCAUUUACUUGAGAAUUAGUUUCUCUUGAGUUAAAUUUCCUUACUCUACAUCAGUGAUUUUCUAGUGUAGAGAGUUUAUAAGAAUUUAUAUGGGGUUUGUUUCUUUACAUAGUAUAUUUACUUAAUUUAACUUUAUCAUCAUGGAUUUGGGUAUUUAAGAUCAUGGUCUAUCAUAUACGGUUUUUAUGGCGGUGUUCCUGUCCUAGAUGAAUGAAUUGCCAUCAAGCAUGCUGAGCUUGCAUGACAAAUCCAAAUGACAAGUUCAUAACUUUAUAUUGUUAUGUAUUUUUCUUGCAAUUAAUAUAUGUACAAGGAACAUUUGUCUCUGAGAUUUUCCUAAUCAUUGUUGGCAUUGACUUUCAUUCUAUACUUGGUUCCAGUUUUAAUGUUGAUUCAAAAGUUUGCACUUUUCCAAAAGAGUUCUAAACUGUCAUAGCUAUUAAGUUUAAAGUUUCAGUUUUUUUUUUGGAGGGGGCGGGUUAUGGAAUGGGUUGCUGGCUGCAGGAAAAACAAGUUUGAAUUACUUUAAAAGUAAGAUUCCAUAAAUGUUUCACGAAGUGCAUUUGCGUAAAGUGGUGCUACUCCUUUUUCGGACCUUUCUUAGGCUUUUGGAAUAUAUAUUGAUUUGUGUUCUCAAGUCCAUUUAAAAGGAAAAAUACUUAUUUAACGUAAUUUAUUGGGUUGGUUUGGCACUUUAUUGACUUUAGGUUGGCUGUGGCUGCCAUGGAUAAUACGAGGGUGACAACCAAGAAUAUGAGAGAGAAAUUGGAAUUGCAAACUUGGUCUGACCUUCCUACAGAACUUCUGGAACUGAUCUUUUGCCAUGUAACUCUAGAAGACAACGUUCGUGCCUCUCUUGUUUGCAAGAGUUGGCAUACAGCUGCCAUUUCUGUCAGAGUGGUAAAACAAUCACCCUGGCUGAUGUAUUUUCCAAAAUAUGGGAAUUUGUAUGAGUUCUAUGACCCAGCACAGCGCAAGACCCAUUCCCUUGAGUUACCAGAAUUGUAUGGGUCAAGAGUUUGUUACACUAAAGAUGGUUGGUUGUUGUUGUACAGACCCAGAACCCACCGUGUUUUCUUCUUUAACCCAUUUACUAAGGAAGUGAUCAAACUGCCAAGAUUUGAAUUGACUUAUCAGAUAGUUGCUUUCUCGUCUUCUCCAACAUCUACCAGCUGCAUUGUUUUUACAGUUAAGCACAUCAGUCCCACAGUUGUUGCUAUCAGCACUUGUCAUCCUGGGGCAACUGAAUGGGUUACUGUUAAUUAUCAAAAUCGCUUGCCUUUUGUUAGUAGUAUUUGGAACAAGAUUGUUUUCUGCAGUGGACUUUUUUACUGCCUAAGUCUCACUGGCUGGCUAGGUGUUUUCAACCCAGUGGAACGUACUUGGAAUGUUCUUGUUGUGCCCCCGCCUAAAUGCCCAGAGAAUUUUUUUGCUAAAAAUUGGUGGAAAGGAAAAUUUAUGUCAGAGCACAAUGGAGACAUUUUAGUUAUUUAUACAUGUUGUAGUGAAAACCCAAUUAUAUUUAAGUUGAAUCAGUCACAAAUGAUGUGGAAAGAGAUGAAGACCCUUGAUGGUGUGACACUGUUUGCCAGUUUCUUAUCAUCUCAUUCAAGAGCUGACCUCCCUGGAAUAAUGAGAAACAGUAUCUACUUUUCUAAAGUUCGGUUUUUUGGAAAGCGUUGCAUAUCAUACUCUCUGGAUGACUGUAGAUACUAUCCUCGCAAGCAGUGUCAUGACUGGGGAGAGCAAGAUCCUUUUGAGAAUAUCUGGAUUGAACCACCUGAGAACCUCUCAACCUUUCUCUGAAGAACACAGGAGUAUGUUCAAGUUAAGUGCAUAUGGUACUCUUAUUAUCUGUUUGUCCUAUUUCAUUUACUUUUUGCACUUGACUGAAUCCUGUUGGUGCUCACUGUAUGUGCUGUAGCUCUUGGAAUAAUUUUAUUGUGCUUAAAGGACUCAGAAUACAUUACAUGCUUAAGUUUAAAAUGUCUAUCAGGUCUGAAUGCCACACAAAACUUUUUGUGUCUUAAACAUAUGCAUGUUUUAAAAUGUACACAUCUUAGACAAAAGUUUUUCUACUAUGCACUUUGUUCCUUUGGAUACAUAUUUGUGGUUGUGAGGAAUUCGACUGAAUUGUUGUCAUUCUGUAGCACUGAAAUCUUGGUGGUGCCAACAUCAGGAUUAUCAUAUUGUUCCUACUUUUCUAUAUUAUUGGUGGGCAAAAAAAUCAUUUGACCUGAAGUUUUCUUGUGCUUAAAGCUCUGAAUGGCCUGAUAUACUUGGAUGCAACACUUAAAGAUGCCAUUUCAGUAGAUAUUGCUCUAUAGAUCAUGAUAAUUUUUUCAAGUAUUGAUUUUAUUUUUCUCAUGGGUCUGUGUGGAGCAGGUAUUGAGUAUCCAAUGGUUGCAUCUAAGUAGAGCAAAUCAUUAGUCAGGAGUCUUUAAAGAAGCAUUUGUGAUGCAGCAUGGAUUCAGUGUACAUCAAGCAUUUCGAAAGUUCAUGCAAUGUUGAGGAAUGAAAUUUAUACCUUGAAGAUAACAGUAAUGCAGCGUAGACAACCUAAAUUGUGCCUGGAGGAUCUGAAAUAUAACAUCCUUCUUGUAUGAUCUUUGGUGCUUCUUUAGCUAUAUACAUUUAUUUGUUCCAAAUAGUUUUCAGAUAUAGAUAUGUUUUGUCCACUAUAGAUUCUCUUCCUUUGUGUCUUCUGUGCUUUAGGCUAAGUGACAUUUGCCUUUUUAACAUUUUGAUUAUGUCUGAAGAUGUGCAUUUUUUUAAGCAGUCAGAAGAUAUACAUAAUGGAAGUCCCUGUGAA